CAACGAGCGCAACCCUGCAUUCAGUUGCCAUCGGUAAGGCCGGGCACUCUGGAUGGACUGCCGGCGCAAGCCGGAGGAAGUGGGGACGACGUCAAGUCAUCAUGGCCCUUAUGUCCAGGGCGACACACGUGCUACAAUGGCCGGCACAACGGGAAGCGAAGGGGCGACCCUGAGCGGAUCCCACAAAAGCCGGUCUCAGUUCGGAUUGCAGUCUGCAACUCGACUGCAUGAAGUUGGAAUCGCUAGUAAUCGUGGAUCAGCCAAGCCGCGGUGAAUACGUUCCCGGGCCUU
rnacentral:rRNA from 1 species